GAUGAACGCUAGCUACAGGCUUAACACAUGCAAGUCGAGGGGUAACGAGAGGAAAGCUUGCUUUCCUUGUCGACGACCGGCGCACGGGUGAGUAACGCGUAUCCAACCUGCCCCCAACUAAGGAAUAACCUUGCGAAAGUAAGACUAAUACCUUAUAAUUUCCUCAGAUGUCAUCUGACGAGGAAUAAAGAUUUAUCGGUUGUGGAUGGGGAUGCGUCUGAUUAGCUUGUUGGCGGGGUAACGGCCCACCAAGGCAACGAUCAGUAGGGGUUCUGAGAGGAAGGUCCCCCACAUUGGAACUGAGACACGGUCCAAACGCCUACGGGAGGCAGCAGUGAGGAAUAUUGGUCAAUGGGCGAAAGCCUGAACCAGCCAAGUAGCGUGCAGGAUGACGGCCCUAUGGGUUGUAAACUGCUUUUAUACAGGAAUAAAGUUAGCCACGUGUGGUUAUUUGUAGGUACUGUAUGAAUAAGGACCGGCUAAUUCCGUGCCAGCCGCCGCAUAA
rnacentral:rRNA from 1 species